rnacentral:rRNA from 1 species
AGCGAACGCUGGCGGCAGGCUUAACACAUGCAAGUCGAGCGGGCAUCCUUGUGGUGUCAGCGGCAGACGGGUGAGUAACGCGUGGGAACGUGCCCUUCGGUUCGGAAUAACUCCGGGAAACUUGAGCUAAUACCGGAUACGUGCGAGAGCAGAAAGGUUUAUCUGCCGAAGGAUCGGCCCGCGUCUGAUUAGCUAGUUGGUGAGGUUAUGGCCCACCAAGGCGACAAUCAGUAGCUGGUCUGAGAGGAUGAUCAGCCACACUGGGACUGAGACACGGCCCAGACUCCUACGGGAGGCAGCAGUGGGGAAUAUUGGACAAUGGGGGCAACCCUGAUCCAGCCAGGCCGCGUGAGUGAUGACGGCCUUAGGGUUGUAAAGCUCUUUUCUCCGGGACGAUAAUGACGGUACCGGAGGAAUAAGCCCCGGCUAACUUCGUG